UAGAUCUCCAGUGAUGAGAAAUGUCUUCCAUGUAAGGAAAGUGUGUGUUUAUAUGCGCUCAAAACAUAUUUUAAAGAAAUCUGAAGAGGGGCUUUAUUGUCAAGACUUCUACUAGUGUCUGGAACAAUGGAAAUCCUUAUGAAAUACAGGAAAACACUGUUCACUUCCAAAUGAUCAAGAUAUGGACCAUAAGAAUGUUGACCUAGAACCCAG
rnacentral:lncRNA from 1 species